rnacentral:lncRNA from 1 species
CCAGGAUGAUAAAAAAUGGUGAUAUCAUAGUCUUUGAGUAACUCCAGCCACCUCCACUUUCUCAAAUUAAGAUCUUUCUAUUUAAACAAAUGCUGAAGACUGUGAUGGUCUGUAUAUACCUCACAAGAUACACCAUAAAGAUAGUGCCUCGAAAUUUUCAAGGCAUGCACAAUCGCAGCUAACUCUAAGUCAUGAACAUGAUAGUUUUUCUCAUGGGGCUUUAGCUGACGAGAAGCAUACGCAAUAACUCUACCCUCCUACAUCAACACAAGGCAUGCACAAUCGCAGCUAACUCUAAGUCAUGAACAUGAUAGUUUUUCUCAUGGGGCUUUAGCUGACGAGAAGCAUACGCAAUAACUGUAGCCCCCUGCAUCAACACACAUCCGAUCCCAACUCUUGAAGCAUCACAAUACACUGUGUAUGAGCCCGAAGCUGAUGGUAAUACUAAUACCGAAGCUCUGGUCAAGGCCGCCUUGAGCUUCUGAAAACUCUUCCCGCAUUCAUCUGACCACACAAAAGGAGCAUUCUUCUAAGUAAGCUUCGUCAAAGGCGAAGCAAUAGAUGAGAAACCCUGAACGAAUUUGCAGUAAUAACCCGCCAAACCAAGGAAACUCUAAAUAACAAUGGCUGAUGACGGUCAGGGCCAACUCUGCACCGCCUCAAACUUCUUUGGGUCGACCUGAAUACCAUCACUGGACACUACAUGUCCCAGAAAGGUCACAGUAUUAAGCCAGAAUUCACACUUAGAGAAUUUUGCAUAAAGCUUCUCCUUUCUCAAUCGCUGCAAGACCACCCUCAAGUGUUGUGCGUGCUCCUACUGGCUACGCGAAUACACCAAGAUAUCAUCAAUAAACACAAUCACGAAGGAAUCUAGAUAAGGCCGAAAGACAUUGUCCAUCAAGUGCGUGAACGCGGCAGGGGCAUUUUUCAUCCCGAAAGACAUCACUAGAAACUCGU